AGAGUUUGAUCCUGGCUCAGAUUGAACGCUGGCGGCAUGCUUUACACAUGCAAGUCGAACGGCAGCACGGGCUUCGGCCUGGUGGCGAGUGGCGAACGGGUGAGUAAUGCGUCGGAACGCGCCGAGUAGUGGGGGAUAACGCAGCGAAAGCUGUGCUAAUACCGCAUACGUACUGAGGUAGAAAGUGGGGGACCUUCGGGCCUCACGCUAUUCGAGCGGCCGACGUCUGAUUAGCUAGUUGGUGGGGUAAAGGCUCACCAAGGCGACGAUCAGUAGCGGGUCUGAGAGGAUGAUCCGCCACACUGGGACUGAGACACGGCCCAGACUCCUACGGGAGGCAGCAGUGGGGAAUUCUGGACAAUGGGCGCAAGCCUGAUCCAGCCAUGCCGCGUGUCUGAAGAAGGCCUUCGGGUUGUAAAGGACUUUUGUCCGGGAGCAAAGCCUACUUGUU
rnacentral:rRNA from 1 species